rnacentral:RNase_P_RNA from 2 species
UGGCGUGGAAGGGUGAUCGCUCCGAUGAAUCCAUCGGUGAGGAAAGUCCGAGCACGACAGGACACGGUGGUGGGUAACACCCACCGGCUCAUGGUUGCAAGUCAGGGAAAGUGCCACAGAGAAAAGACCGCCUACCCCGCUUCGGCGGGCGGCAAGGGUGAAACGGUGCGGUAAGAGCGCACCGCCCGUCCGGUGACGGCCGGGGCACGGCAAACCCCACCGCGUGCAAGCGCAAGCAGCUCCUUCGUCGGCCAUGCCGGCGUACUCGUGGUCCGCGAGUGGAGCGGGUCGCGUGCUCGAAUGGGUUCGUAUUGCGAGCUCAUUCGGAGGCUGUUGGCGACAACAGCUCUAGAGAAAUGAUUGCCAAGGCGUUCGCGCUGAACAGAACUCGGCUUACAUUCCACCGCAACCU